UACUGUGAGCAAAUGGAAAAGUACUCGGACAAGGACGUCUCAGAGCCUUCAGAUUUUUAAAACAUGCAGCACAGAGAGCUUCUGGUCUUCUAGGCACACCAGAACCAAGGAUGGAGCAGCCUCUCCAGGAAGAGUAGAGUAAGGAAGUAAUAAUGCAAGUGAACUUGUACUGGAAUGGGUACUUCUACCAAGGGUACGCUGAUCACUGGAUCAAAAAAACACAAGGAAACUUGUGCUCUGGACAGACAUUUGUAACAGCUCCGUGCCCAGGGAGGACCUUGCUGGCGUUUCCAUCUCUCCCUUCUGUCCGUCAAGAACAGGAUGUGCGACACACUUACAUUGACCUGACCUCUCUGCGGCU